rnacentral:rRNA from 1 species
UACGUAGGGUGCGAGCGUUAUUCGGAAUUACUGGGCGUAAAGCGUGCGCAGGCGGUUUUGUAAGCCCGAUGUGAAAUCCCCGGGCUUAACCUGGGAAUGGCAUUUGGGACUGCAAGGCUUGAGUGCGGCAGAGGAGACUGGAAUUCCUGGUGUAGCAGUGAAAUGCGUAGAUAUCAGGAGGAACACCGAUGGCGAAGGCAGGUCUCUGGGCUGACACUGACGCUCAUGCACGAAAGCGUGGGGAGCAAACAGG